GGAGGGUGCAAGCGUUGUUCGGAAUCACUGGGCGUAAAGCGCGUGUAGGCGGCCUCCUAAGUCUGGUGUGAAAGCCCGGGGCUUACCCCCGGAAGUGCACUGGAAACUGGGAGACUAGAGUACCGGAGAGGAGGGUGGAAUUCCUGGUGUAGCGGUGAAAUGCGUAGAUAUCAGGAAGAACACCGGUGGCGAAGGCGGCCCUCUGGACGGAUACUGACGCUGAGACGCGAAAGCGUGGGGAGCAAACAGGAUUAGAUACCCUGGUAGUCCACGCUGUAAACGAUGGGCACUAGGUGCUCGGGGUAUUGACCCCCUGGGUGCCGUAGCUAACGCAUUAAGUGCCCCGCCUGGGGACUACGGCCGCAAGGCUA
rnacentral:rRNA from 1 species